rnacentral:rRNA from 1 species
UACGUAGGGUGCGAGCGUUAAUCGGAAUUACUGGGCGUAAAGCGUGCGCAGGCGGUUCGUUAUGUCCGAUGUGAAAGCCCCGAGCUCAACUUGGGAAUGGCAUUGGAAACUGGCGGGCUGGAGUGUGGCAGAGGGGGGUGGAAUUCCACGUGUAGCAGUGAAAUGCGUAGAGAUGUGGAGGAACACCGAUGGCGAAGGCAGCCCCCUGGGCCAACACUGACGCUCAUGCACGAAAGCGUGGGGAGUAAACAGG